rnacentral:rRNA from 1 species
UACGUAGGGGGCAAGCGUUGUCCGGAUUUAUUGGGCGUAAAGAGCUCGUAGGCGGUUGGGCAAGUCACGUGUGAAAUCUCCACGCUCAACGUGGAGGCGCCACGUGAGACUGGCCCUGACUCGAGUCCGGUAGGGGAGCGUGGGAAUUCCCGGUGUAGCGGUGGAAAUGCGCAGAGAGUCGGGAGGAACACCCGUAGCGAAGGCGGCGCUCUGGGCCGGUACUGACGCUGAGGAGCGAAAGCGUGGGGAGCAAACAGG